rnacentral:ncRNA from 1 species
UCUCAGCUGCUUCAUUUAUGAAGCAAUGAAGUAGCUUGGAACUACACGUCAUUUCACUAUGACAGUAUAACUGUUAUAAAAUACAAUCACAACACCUAUUGCGUGAAGUGGUGGUGGUCUUUCAAGAAGGUGAAAUGGCUACUUAUG